GCCUCAGCCUCCCGAGUAGCUGGGACUACAGGCUCCCGCCACCACGCCCGGCUAAUUUUUUUAUAUUUUUAGUAGAGAUGGGGUUUCACCGUGUUAGCCAGGAUGGUCUCGAUCUCCUGACCUCGUGAUCCGCCUGCCUCGGCCUCCCAAAGUGCUGGGAUUACAGGCGUUAGCCACCGCGCCCAGCCCAUUUGGGGGGAAAUUCUAAUGCAAAAGAGCCAGGGCUCCCAGCCUGCCCACUUCUAAGUGGACACAUGCACAGGGCUGUGUGGGUCAGGUGGGCUACAGCCACGCUGUGAAGGCCCCUCAUGAGGGGGACUCAUUAAACAAAGCAUGCAGUCCACCAGACUGUGAGAUGUUUCACAGCCAAGAAAAACGGAUGACGAUGGCAGGCAUACGCCUGGGGAUAAGGAACGAUCUCCAGGCCAGACUGUUAGAAAAAACAAGGUCACAGCACCAUGCGUGUGUGUGCGUGUAUGGUAUCUGUGUGAACCUCUGUUUACAAAGGAUAGUGUGGAUGACACCAUGACUUCUGGAGGGAGAAGGAACGAUGGAUGCUUGUUGCCCAUUGAGGGAACGGGGAGGAGCUGGCAGCACUGCCCAGGUGCUUGCUAUGUGCCAGGUGUCUCAUGAAGCCUCGUCCACAUGAUUCUCGUUCAACUCCCAAAUCUGCAUCCUUUCUGCCCGCUGCCCUGAGCUCCAGAUUGAUAAUCCCAAUCUCCCCCAUGACUUUUCUAGGAUGUCUGCUGGAGGCAUUUCAAACCUGAUACACGCAAAACAGAGCUCAAACCAGUAUCCCUUCACCUCUCCUCCAAAUCAAAAAACCCUGUUUUUGUAGCUCAGUAAAUCUACCACUGGUAGCUCCCAGGUUGCUCACUCCCAAAACUAGAAAUCAUUCGUCUUUUCUGCAUCCAGAAUUCCAUGUCCAGCUUAUCAGCGAGGCCUGUAGGCUCCACCUCCACUAUUUGCCCCAAGCCUAUUCACUUCUCCCCAAGUCCCCGGCCAGGUCUGAGCCACCCCCAUGUCUUGCUGGGAUACCUGGCCAGGCCCCUCACAGUCCCUGCUUCCCCCUCCAGACAGGGGACCGUCUGUUGGGCUCUGAUAUGUGUGUCCUGCCCAGCCCCUCAGGCCUCCACCUGGAGCAGCAGGCAGGGGGAAGGGGUCACCCACCGCUGCCGGAAGUCGGUGUAGAGCAACCUGUUGGGGAACCCUUGGCGGCAGAUCCGGAUCCCCUCCAGGACCCCAUUGCAGCGCAGCUGGUGUAGCACCAAGAAGGCAUCCAUGACCCCUGGACGUGAGAGGGGAAAAGGUCAGAGGUCAACAGGCACACCCGCAGGCCCCAGAGAAAAAGCAGCAGUGGAGACCCUGCGAGGAUGGACAGGAUGCCCAGUGGCUGGGAACAGAACGAGCUUGAAAAGCCACCAUCAAGCCAGUCCAUCCUGGAAGGACUGAACCCCUGGUUCCCCAGGCCACCUCCCUUCUGGGAGCCUUCCCAGAUCCCCAGCUUCAGCCAUCUCCCCGGAUGGUCAGACACCACACCCACUCCAAGAACCCAUCUCCUAACAGAGAAAAGUUUGUGGCUUGGCUCCAGUCCCCUCCUGCAAAAUCUGCAGCACUGAGGUGUCAUCUUCACUUCUAACAAUGGCAAACCCAAGCUGGCAUCUCUGUACCCACUCUCACCCCCGCCACAGCCAUGGCUGUCACACACAAACAUGGGGUAAGUCAAAAAAAGCCAUCAAGUUCACAUUUUGGCUUCCUCACUCACUAGCUGUGGGGCCCUCCGACAUCACUAAGCCUCAGUCUUCUAACCUGCAGAGUGGGAAGAUGAAUGUCUUCAGUGCUGACAUAAUAUUUAAAAAGCUGUCAAUCACCUAAACGCCCAGCUGUAGGGGACUGCAGAAAUGCAUCGUAUGAAACUCAUCCACUGCAUGAACUACUCUUGCCAUGAGC
rnacentral:lncRNA from 1 species